rnacentral:rRNA from 2 species
UUUCGCAAUGCCCGAAAGGGUGACGAAGCGACGCCGCGUGUGGGAAGAAGGCCUUCGGGUUGUAAACCGCUGUUGGGAGUUAGGAAGUGUGGGAGUGUUAAUAGCGCUUCCACUUGACUAAAGCUCCAGAGGAAGCCACGACUAACUCUGUGCCAGCAGCCGCGGUAAUACAGAGGCGGCAAGCGUUGUUCGGAAUUAUUGGGCGUAAAGAGCACGUAGGCGGCUCUGUAAGUCAGCUGUGAAAGCCUUCUGCUUAACGGAAGAACAGCAGUUGAAACUACAGGGCUUGAGUGCGGGAGGGGAGAGUGGAACUUCUGGUGGAGCGGUGAAAUGCGUAGAUAUCAGAAGGAACGCCGGCGGCGAAAGCGGCUCUCUGGUCCGUAACUGACGCUGAGUGUGCGAAAGCUAGGGGAGCAAACGGGAUUAGAUACCCCGGUAGUCCUAGCCGUAAACGAUGGGCACUAAGUAGAGGGGUUUU